rnacentral:rRNA from 1 species
AGAGUUUGAUCCUGGCUCAGGAUGAACGCUGGCGGCGUGCCUAAUACAUGCAAGUCGAACGAGUUCUGAUUAUUGAAAGAUGCUUGCAUCUUGAUUUAAUUUUGAACGAGUGGCGGACGGGUGAGUAACACGUGGGUAACCUGCCCUUAAGUGGGGGAUAACAUUUGGAAACAGAUGCUAAUACCGCAUAAAUCCAAGAACCGCAUGGUUCUUGGCUGAAAGAUGGCGUAAGCAUCGCUUUUGGAUGGACCCGCGGCGUAUUAGCUAGUUGGUGAGGUAACGGCUCACCAAGGCAAUGAUACGUAGCCGAACUGAGAGGUUGAUCGGCCACAUUGGGACUGAGACACGGCCCAAACUCCUACGGGAGGCAGCAGUAGGGAAUCUUCCACAAUGGACGCAAGUCUGAUGGAGCAACGCCGCGUGAGUGAAGAAGGCUUUCGGGUCGUAAAACUCUGUUGUUGGAGAAGAAUGGUCGGCAGAGUAACUGUUGUCGGCGUGACGGUAUCCAACCAGAAAGCCACGGCUAACUACGUGCCAGCAGCCGCGGUAAUACGUAGGUGGCAAGCGUUAUCCGGAUUUAUUGGGCGUAAAGCGAGCGCAGGCGGUUUUUUAAGUCUGAUGUGAAAGCCCUCGGCUUAACCGAGGAAGUGCAUCGGAAACUGGGAAACUUGAGUGCAGAAGAGGACAGUGGAACUCCAUGUGUAGCGGUG